GAUGAACGCUGGCGGCGUGCUUAACACAUGCAAGUCGAACGAUUAAAGCUCUCUUCGGAGAGUGUAUAGAGUGGCGAACGGGUGAGUAACACGUGGGCAACCUACCCCCCGCUCCAGGAUAACUCAGGGAAACUUGAGCUAAUACCGGAUACUCCGUAAGGAUCGCAUGGUCCUUUCGGGAAAGUUCCGGCGGCGAGGGAUGGGCCCGCGGCCCAUUAGCUAGUUGGUGAGGUAAUGGCCCACCAAGGCAACGAUGGGUAGCCGAGCUGAGAGGCUGAUCGGCCACACUGGGACCGAGACACGGCCCAGACUCCUACGGGAGGCAGCAGUGGGGAAUUUUGCGCAAUGGGCGAAAGCCUGACGCAGCAACGCCGCGUGCGGGAUGAAGGCCUUCGGGUUGUAAACCGCUUUCAGCAGGGACGAAACUGACUGUACCUGCAGAAGAGGCCCCGGCUAACUACGUGCCAGCCGCCGCGGUAA
rnacentral:rRNA from 1 species